GAAAUUGUUGAAACGUUGAUUUCUAAUCAAGCCGUUAAAAGGAAAGUCCUUUCAAUUUCU
rnacentral:tRNA from 1 species